rnacentral:rRNA from 1 species
GACGAACGCUGGCGGCGUGCUUAACACAUGCAAGUCGAACGGAAAGGCCUUUUCGGAGGUACUCGAGUGGCGAACGGGUGGGUAACACGUGGGUGAUCUGCCCUGCACUCUGGGAUAAGCCUGGGAAACUGGGUCUAAUACCGGAUAGGACCGCACUUUAGUGUGUGUGGGGGAAAGUUUUUUCGGUGUAGGAUGAGCCCGCGGCCUAUCAGCUUGUUGGUGGGGUAAUGGCCUACCAAGGCGGCGACGGGUAGCCGGACUGAGAGGUUGGUCGGCCACAAUGGGGCUGAGAUACGGCCCAGAAUCCUACGGGAGGCAGCAGUGGGGAAUAUUGCACAAUGGGCGCAAGCCUGAUGCAGCGACGCCGCGUGGGGGAUGACGGCCUUCGGGUUGUAAACUCCUUUCGCCAGGGACGAAGCGUUUUGUGACGGUACCUGGAGAAGAAGCACCGGCUAACUACGUG